GAUGAACGCUAGCUACAGGCUUAACACAUGCAAGUCGAGGGGCAGCAUGGUCUUAGCUUGCUAAGGCCGAUGGCGACCGGCGCACGGGUGAGUAACACGUAUCCAACCUGCCGUCUACUCUUGGACAGCCUUCUGAAAGGAAGAUUAAUACAAGAUGGCAUCAUGAGUCCGCAUGUUCACAUGAUUAAAGGUAUUCCGGUAGACGAUGGGGAUGCGUUCCAUUAGAUAGUAGGCGGGGUAACGGCCCACCUAGUCUUCGAUGGAUAGGGGUUCUGAGAGGAAGGCCCCCCACAUUGGAACUGAGACACGGUCCAAACUCCUACGGGACGCAGCAGUGAGGAAUAUUGGUCAAUGGGCGAGAGCCUGAACCAGCCAAGUAGCGUGAAGGAGGACUGCCCUAUGGGUUGUAAACUUCUUUUAUAAAGGAAUAAAGUCGGGUAUGGAUACCCGUUUGCAUGUACUUUAUGAAUAAGGAUCGGCUAACUCCGUG
rnacentral:rRNA from 1 species